rnacentral:lncRNA from 1 species
GGAUGAAGAUGUAGAACUCUCAGCUCUGCCUGCGCCAUGACAGCCUAGAUGCUGCCAUGCUCCCACCUUGAUGAUAAUAGCCUGAGCCUCUGAACCUGCCUACAUCUGCAUAUACUUGUGAAGACUGAUACUGCGGCAUAUACUGCGUUGCCAUGUCGCCAGCUCCAGUCACUGGUAAGUUAUAUAUAAUAACACAUGAGCAGCAGCCAGCGAACAAGAAAACCCAACAAGGAAACGGCGUAGUACACGUUAGCAGCUUUAAUUGGAGAACAGUUUCGCUUUUUUUUUUUUUUCCUCAAAGCUGGUAAGAGGAAAAGAUCCUUUGACCGAGUCACGUGACCGGUAUCACAUGACCCGCAGUGAACCGGGAAAGACCGGGAGAGGAAACAGCGCAGAGGGUACGCUGGGGCGCUACUGAAACAAAACACUUAAAGGCUUCUUCAGCUGCUUUCCUGACUGCAACGCGUUCUGCCUUAAGAGCCAAAGUAAACCCUAAUCAAAAGAACCUGGUGGAUAGGCACGCGAUGGAAAACCAUCCUCUUUGUGUUCGCGGUUUGACUAACGCAGCCUGCUGCUUUUUCACAUAGAAAGAUUGGGGUAAAAUGAAUUCAAAGCCUUGAUCCA